UAAUACCUUGCUGUUUUGACGUUAUCCACCCUCCCGGCACUGGCUAACUUCGUGCCAGCAGCCGCGGUAAUACGAAGGGUGCAAGCGUUAAUCGGAAUUACUGGGCGUAAAGCGCGCGUAGGUGGUUCAGCAAGUUGGAUGUGAAAUCCCCGGGCUCAACCUGGGAACUGCAUCCAAAACUACUGAGCUAGAGUACGGUAGAGGGUGGUGGAAUUUCCUGUGUAGCGGUGAAAUGCGUAGAUAUAGCAAGGAACACCAGUGGCGAAGGCGACCACCUGGACUGAUACUGACACUGAUCGUCCCAUAGGAGGGAGCAAACAGGAUUAGAUACCCUGGUAGUCCACGCCGUAAACGAUGUCGACUAGCCGUUGGGAUCCUUGAGAUCUUAGUGGCGCAGCUAACGCGAUAAGUCGACCGCCUGGGGAGUACGGCCGCAAGGUAAAACUCAAGGAAUUGACG
rnacentral:rRNA from 1 species